UGCCUCUAUCAGAUGAGCUGCUGGUC
rnacentral:piRNA from 1 species